AAAUUAAAUAUCGGCCUGCGGCCGAUAUGAAAUAUUCAGGCUUCGCCUGAAUGUGAAAUAUCCGGACUAACGUCCGGAUGUGUAAGUUACU
rnacentral:misc_RNA from 1 species